AUUGAACGCUGGCGGCAGGCUUAACACAUGCAAGUCGAACGGAGUGGCGGACGGGUGAGUAAUGCUUGGGAAUCUAGCUUAUGGAGGGGGAUCACUAAGGGAAACUGUAGCUAAUACCGCGUACCAUAGGAUGAGCCCAAGUGGGAUUAGGUAGGUGGUGAGGUAAAGGAUCACCAAGCCGACGAUCUCUAGGGGGUCUGAGAGGAUGACCAGCCACACAGGGACUAAGACACGGCCCAGACUCCUACGGGCGGCAGAAGUGGUGAAUAUUGGACAAUGGGCGAAAGCCUGAUCCAGCCAUGCAGCGUGUGUGAAGAAGGUCUUCGGAUUGUAAAGCACUUUAAGUUGGGAGGCGUUACCAACAGAAUAAGCACCGGCUAACUUCGUGCCAGCCGCCGCGGUAAUUC
rnacentral:rRNA from 1 species